rnacentral:rRNA from 1 species
CAGUCGCCGCGGUAAUACGAAGGGGGCUAGCGCUGCUCGGAAUGACUGGGCGUAAAGGGCGCGUAGGCGGUUUGCACAGUCGGGUGUGAAAUUCCGGGGCUUAACCUGGGGGCUGCAUUCGAGACGUGUAGGCUUGAGUGGGGAAGAGGGUCGUGGAAUUCCCAGUGUAGAGGUGAAAUUCGUAGAUAUUGGGAAGAACACCGGUGGCGAAGGCGGCGACCUGGUCCUUUACUGACGCUGAGGCGCGAAAGCGUGGGGAGCAAACAGGAUUAGAUACCCCCGUAGUCCCUGUCUCUUAUAA